UAUAACUUUCCUUUAGGCCAUUAAAGGAAAGAGAAUUGAAGAAAUUGCACGUUCACCCUUCAAAUGGGCUGACCUUUAAUUUUUGCCUUCAAAUGUUGUGGUCUUUACUUUUGCCCUUUAGCAAUCGAAAGGAGGGCACAACUGGUCUAAUGUUAUGAAAAUAUACGCUUACAUCCCGCGAAAAAAUUAUUUGUUAUGACUCAUGAGGAUCAAAAAUUAAAGACCGACACUAAAUAAGGGUGCCGAUGGCUGGACCAAGUAAUCUAACGAAAUAAAGCCCAUAGCUUAAAAACAACAACACUCUUUUGUGUUUCAUGAAGGUCAACAGAAUUCCCAUAAACUGUUAAAAAAAUAAAAAAGGAGAAGAAGAAGGAAAUUGUUAAAGCUUGUGGAAGGACAGGAGGAAGAGGGAUGAAGAUAUUUGGGAAGCACAUAUUUCCAAGACAGAUUGUACUUUUCGCUUCUGGGGUGUUUUUCUUGGGUUCAACAACAUAUGAUGUACACAGAUCCAUAAAGAACAAUGAAACACCACCUUCUGAGGAGCAAAUCCAAGCACUUGAAGAUUACUUGAAUUCUGUUCGUCGCCCUUCUUAGGCUGCUCUAUGUUACCGGUCCAUAAUAGGCCACGUAUCUUAGUUUAAGUCUCUUUCAAUUAAGUUUGCAAAUAUAUCUAGUACUUAUCUACUAAUACAUGUACCUAAUAAUCAUGACACUAUAUGUUGUAAUUUAACUUUGUGUUUUGAUUUUCCUUAUGGUAUGAGCGUUGCUUAUUUUUACAAACAAA